AUUAAUUGAACCACGUUCAUCUCUUGUUGAUCGUUCUUCAUUUUAAACAAGAAGGCUAGUUCACUAUCGUGAGUGAAUACGCAAUUGCAAGAGAGCUCGGACGAUCCGGUUUAAUUGCAUCCACCUGUCUCGUCGACUAAACCGCAUAGUGUACCGUGGUUUAGAGACCUGGUUCUCAUCCUUGAGCUUGCGAUCGACUUUAACAAAGCGGACUUAGGAAGGUAAAAGAAUUCGCAGUCCGCUGGGAGUGGGAAAUGGCUCGUUGCACACGGAGGAAGUCGGGGCGCCUCGACAUUGACAUCACGUUUCAAGGUCACACGUAGGCCGUAACAGAGAAACAUGCAUACGCAUCUCGUGACGUAACUCGGUACAAGCCUGUAAUCUAAGACCGUCUCUAGUGCCUUCGUAAUUAGUGCACAGUUACGUGACAGCUAGAAAAGUGAUUGUGGUCAUCCUGAUCUCCCUUGCAAAUGAGAAUAAUUUUCGUAUUGUGCGCAAAACCGACUAUCUUUUGUAAUAUCGUCAUCGAUAAAAUGAAUUAUUCAUAAGAA